CUCAAAGCAGUGAGAGCAAAUCCUCUGCCCUUGUCCAAAAGCACUGAGACGAGAAAUGCAGGCUCUCAAAUUCCCUCUGGAUUUUCAGACCAGGUGUCUCCGACCAUGCCAGGGGUGAUGUUUGGAGCUGAUGGUCAUUAUCUUCUGUGUAUCUUCUGUGCUACUCCCAAUCUGUUGAGAUGUUAAGCUCAUCAGGCCUCACCUGGUGGAACAAUGUCCUAGAAAGAAACUUCCAUUCCCUUCCCCUGAGGCAAAGGCACACAUAGAUUGGACUUGAUGAUCUCAAAGGUCUUUUCCAGCCUAGUUCAUGUGAAACAUUAGUCAGUUCUGUGAAAACUGACUAAAGUUACAUUAAAAAAUUUUACAUUUCA